CCACCGGUAAUGUAACGGCAGCAUGCAGGAACUAUACUCUUGUUGUUCAGGUUCAAUUCCUGGCCGGUUGG
rnacentral:tRNA from 1 species